rnacentral:lncRNA from 1 species
GGCUGAACUGAAUAACAUCCCCUGGCCUCCCCACUACCCACUAGGUAUACACUUUCAGUUACACAGGUUCUAGAACGCGAUAGUAUAGUAUCGUAUCUACAGUUAACGAUACCAGAUUGUAUAGUUAAAAAUUUGUUAGGAGAGUCCAUCUCAUGUUAAAUAUUCCCACUACAAUAGAAACAAGUCUUCCUGAAGUUUAUCUCUAAGAAGAAAGUGUAGGUUGAAUUGUCCCAUACACAGUUGUAUCCCCUUGAGAGAAGCAAUUGUUCCUGGUCCCUGGGAGUCUCAGCUUCCUGAAUGGCCUCUGGCCUGAGAAGGAAUUCCUUGUGCCCAGAAUCUGACAUGAAUGUUCAAUAUUUCUGAAGAUAGGGAUUUGGAUCUAAAGAGAAGGAGAUGAAAAGCCCCAUGUAAGAACUGCAUUCUAAAAUAUAUAUGUGUGGAACCAAUCCAAAUGCAUCCUACAAGCUAAGGCUACAUUUAAAUUUAUCUCUGCAAAAUCUCCUAAUAGCCUUGAGAUCUGGAAUUAGCAGUCAUUGUGGUUCUACAUUCCAGAGGAAAGAUGCAAUACAGUUAGAUUAUUCUCUUGAAUGACGAGGAGAAAUGCUGAUUGUAUUGCUCUCUGAAGACACAAAAUGUUAUUGAACUGCUAAAGAACAAAGACAAUAAUGCUACUGAUUGUGACCAUAGCUUUAGUUAUUAUCAAAACUUGGCUGACCAGUGAUGGAGUGUUGGUGAGGGGUAAGCAUGGAAUCAGAAUUUGCUGAUCCUGGGUUUCCUUUUAGAUAAGGAGCUGUGCUUUGGA